rnacentral:rRNA from 1 species
UACAGAGGGUGCAAGCGUUAAUCGGAAUUACUGGGCGUAAAGCGCACGUAGGCGGUUAUAUAAGACAGAUGUGAAAUCCCCGGGCUCAACCUGGGAACUGCAUUUGUGACUGCAAGGCUAGAGUACGGCAGAGGGGGAUGGAAUUCCGCGUGUAGCAGUGAAAUGCGUAGAUAUGCGGAGGAACACCAAUGGCGAAGGCAAUCCCCUGGGCCUGUACUGACGCUCAUGCACGAAAGCGUGGGGAGCAAACAGG